UACGAAGGGGGCUAGCGUUGCUCGGAAUGACUGGGCGUAAAGGGCGCGUAGGCGGAUCAUACAGUCAGAUGUGAAAUUCCCGGGCUCAACCUGGGGGCUGCAUUUGAUACGUGUGGUCUUGAGUUCGGAAGAGGGUCGUGGAAUUCCCAGUGUAGAGGUGAAAUUCGUAGAUAUUGGGAAGGAACACCGGUGGCGAAGGCGGCGACCUGGUCCGAGACUGACGCUGAGGCGCGAAAGCGUGGGGAGCAAACAGG
rnacentral:rRNA from 1 species